rnacentral:lncRNA from 1 species
GCACUGCCCCGGGCCGCAGCGCAGCCGCGCCAACCACCAGCCACGGCCACCAUGGCCGGACGGGCUCCCUAAGCCACCGACCCCAGCCCGCGGCGCCUUCGACCCUUCUGGGGCCUCCGGCGCCGCGACCUCGUCUGCCUGAAAUUUCUUUUUUCUUUUCCUUUUAUUUUAUUUUAUUUUUUGAGACGGAGUCUUGCUCUGUUGUCUGGGUGGAGUGCAGUGGUGCAAUCUCGGCUCACUGCAACCUCUGCCUCCCAGGUAAAAAACCUCAUU